rnacentral:tRNA from 1 species
GCCGAAAUAGCUCAGAUUGGAGGGUGUCAGACUGAAGAUCUGUAGGUCCCUGGUUCAAUCCCGGGUUUCGGCA